AUCCAGCUGACGAGUCCCAAAUAGGAUGAAAUGUGUGUCCUGAAU
rnacentral:hammerhead_ribozyme from 1 species